CGACCACGGUGGGUUUAGCGACUGGGGUGAAGUCGUAACAAGGUAGCCGUAGGGGAACCUGCGGCUGGAUCACCUCCUUUCUAAGGA
rnacentral:rRNA from 1 species